rnacentral:rRNA from 1 species
CAGCUCUGGUGUGAUAAAACAUCUACCCCGUAGCUUGGCGAAGCGUCGCAACCAUUCAUUUCCUUUUUCGGCGCAUUAUUGCCAAAUUAGGAAACUUGAUGUGGGAGGUGUGCUGCCUAACAGCAGCUCUUCCUGUGCAAACAAGAGUCAGUUUGCUUCUAAUGGUCUUCUUUGAAGAGACAAUGAAAGGGAAAUGAUCCCUUUUGACAACUUGACCUCAAAUCAGGUAGGACUACCCGCUGAACUUAAGCAUAUCAAUAAGCGGAGGAAAAGAAACUAACAAGGAUUCCCCUAGUAACUGCGAGUGAAGCGGGAAAAGCUCAAAUUUAAAAUCUGGCAGUCCUUUGCGGCUGUCCGAGUUGUAAUCUAGAGAAGCGUUAUCCGCGUUGGACCGUGUACAAGUCUCUUGGAAAAGAGCAUCAUAGAGGGUGAGAAUCCCGUCUUUGACACGGACUGCCAAGGCAUUUGUGAUGCGCUCUCGAUGAGUCGAGUUGUUUGGGAAUGCAGCUCAAAAUGGGUGGUAAAUUCCAUCUAAAGCUAAAUAUUGGGGAGAGACCGAUAGCGAACAAGUACCGUGAGGGAAAGAUGAAAAGAACUUUGGAAAGAGAGUUAAACAGUACGUGAAAUUGUUGAAAGGGAAACGCUUCAAGUCAGUCGCGUUUGUUGGGGAUCAACCUGCUCGCAAGGGUGGGAGCAUUUCCUGGCAGACGGGUCAGCAUCAGUUUUGAUCGUUGGACAAAGGUCAGAGGAAUGUGACAUCUUUUUGGAUGUGUUAUAGCCUCGGGUCGCAUGCAACGGUUGGGAUUGAGGAACUCAGCACGCCUUCAUUGGCCGAGGCAAUUCAUUGUCUACGUUUACGUGCUUAGGAUGCUGGCAUAAUGGCUUCAAUCGACCCGUCUUGAAA